CCUAAGUUCUCGAGAGUAUAUUUGUAAUUGAAUUUCAGAGCCUAACAAUAAUAUCGCGCCUAAGGCGUUGGAUACAAAAAUUGGCUUUACCGCGAUACGUUCGCUUAGAGACCAGAGUGUUUUUUUAAUGUGCCAAGUUGUCGGGUAUCCCAUACCUUUAUUCAGAACCCACGAAUAAUGUCGCGCCCAAAACCUUAGAUAAGAAGUAUGGGUUUUUACUCACCUCCCAAAGUCUAAACACGACCAUUUACUUAAUGUGCCAAGUCGUCGGGUUUCCUAUUCCAAUAUUUAGAACCGACCAAUA